rnacentral:rRNA from 1 species
GCUUACAGCCAUACCACCCUGAAUGCGCCCGAUCUCGUCUGAUCUCGGAAGCUAAGCAGGGUCAGGCCUGGUUAGUACUUGGAUGGGAGACUGCCUGGGAAUGGCUCAUGACCUCCCCAAGUC